UACAGUUAAAACUCAGUCAGUAUAGAAAGAAGGUGAAACACACACAGUUAAAACCCAAUCAGUGUAGAGAGGCGUAGCAGCAUUGACACUCCUACAGAUGAUAGAUGAUACUGUAGUAGUGGGAUUUUCAGCAGCCUACCCGGGCCUGAGCCAAGUCCACCACCUAGUGGCAAAUGAUGCGUGGAAAAUGCUAAUAUAGGUACCAUGACUUGCUAAAACGUUAGCAUUUGGAAACCAGGGAAACAAAACCAACUGCUGUCACAGUGGUUCUUCUUUAAAAGUUUAGAGCUUAGGCUGAGACCGUUAGUGGUAGAUUCUGUCAUUGCACCACACUAUCACAAGGGGGAAUUAGAACGCUGAUCUCUCGGAUGUCUAAACUGUGGCACAAAUUGACUAUCUUUUUGAAGAAUUAAUGGAAAUAUUUACAGUCUGAGAGUUUCUCUUCUCUGGCACUAGAGAUAACUUUUUUUUUUAAAUAGGCAGGGUGGGCUUUUGGUUUCUCUCUCUGAAAACAGAAAUAAAUCAUUCUAAAUAAAAAAACGGGCUUUAUUUACCACCAUGUGAAAGAGUGAUAGCCCCUCUAUAUAAAGUGAGUUUCUGAAACACGGAGUCCUUCUUUGCUGAUGUAAAGAAGAAACGGAAUGAAAGAGUCAGCAUUUUGUCAGUAUAAAGCUGAGUGACUCACUCAUUCAUGGCUUUGGAUCAAAAUAAAUAAGUACCAACACUCUUUCUGAUAGUCUUUAAAAAAUAAAUGUUCUGACGGUUUGGACCAAGUUAAUCUGCUCAUGUUGUGUGUGUUCAAUUAUUCGUGACAUUGUGGUUGCAAUGAAGAAUGUAAACAAAAUCAAUCGUAUUCAUAAUGAAUAAUCAGAUGCAUGUUGCAAGCUUUAUUUUUCCAGCUUUUUUUCCCCUUCUCAUUUAUUUUAUCUCCAGCACUGCGUCACCCUCCGCCUCAUGGCCUCAAACUGCACCAUUUUGUUUCUCUCCGUCACCCACACGCACUUUCCCAGAAGGCAUGGAUUAUUAUACACUGUUGCAGGCCUAAAACUUAUGGGUUUAAUCUUCUGAAUUAAUGAUUAUAUUGAAGACAGAAGCCGUCUCUUAAUGAGUUUCGAAAGCCGAUCUGUUAUCCAGCGAUUAUUAAUUAUUAUUAACCCUGCAUUCUAAUUAUAUAAAAGCCCCUUAGAUAUUCUCACAGACCAGAUUUGCCCUAAUGAAAAAUGCCCUUAGAUCUAAGUUUAGAAUCCUCCAAUCCUCUAAAUUGGAGGGAGUACAGUAUGUGUACAGUACAGUACUUUUGUCAAUAAAAUAAUGAUAAAAAUACUCUUUCAAAAUGUAGAUGUUCAUUUCAACUACUGUACAUCUCAGCUACAUAAUCCCCAAGUCUAACAGUAUUUUUUUUAAAUGUCUCCAGUAGAUUUUCCGUUCCUCCUGAAAACCAUAAUCUGCUCACUUAAAUGAAUAGAGAUCCUGGUCAUUCUCACCCGACCCAACCAUCCAUGGAGAUCAGUGGACAAAGGGCUGGACAACAGACAACAGAAAAAAUACAUUGGUUCCCAAAAAAGCGGCCACUGUAAUCGAUGGGGGCUCAGGGCUGUACCAUUCUGCUCAUCUGAUGAAGAUGCACAUGGAUCAGAUUCAAACUUUGAAGACCGAGAUGAAGUCAUUGAAGGCUGACCAGCAGAAAGAGAAACAUUCUCUGAGGGAUACGAGAGAUACGGGCGACAGCUGAUCCAUUGGUCCAGAGCCAGGCGGUAUUGGCGGAGAGUCAGGUGGAGAAUGACACGUUGAAGAGGGCGAGGAACGAGAUGGAGUCACAAUCCAUGCCAGGCACACCUGUGAGCUCUGGAACUCCACCUCUGACAGGCAGAGUCAACAUACGUGGUGGGUUCGUCAGGUCGUCGGUUCACACUGACAUUUCCAUUCCUCUUCUGACAAGAAAACUUGACGAACUGCUCACCAGGCACAGCAAGGGCCGUCCGGACCGUUAUGCUGUUCUGCUAUUCCAAGGAUGUGUAACCGAAGAGAGAUACCACGAGUGGACACAGAAUACCAACUGGGAUGGAUCCUGAGACAAAUGUGGCUUACCAGUGAACCUCCGGGUGUGUCUCAGAAGUUUCUGUCCUUGACUGAUGGAACACGAAAAAGCAUUAAAGACAGAGUUAAUGAGUACUUGAGGUCACAGAGAAAGUCUGGACAUGGCCUGCUCUCCCUUACGUAAGGAGUUAGGCCCUUUACCAUGUUUACUAUGUACUGUAGGCUGUGUUUACUUGUCAGACUGCACAGUAGCCUAAUAAACAUACAUUUCAAAACAGUUGAAAAAAAUCUAAUUCAAUCAUUUAUUUGUACCACUGUAGAUGCUGUUUUUAUUUACAGUAGUUAUAUACAGCUGGAGGAAUUUUGAAAACAUGUUUUCAAACACAAAAAUCCCCAAAUUUGUGCCACAGUUUAGACUACCGAUAGAUAGUGCGGUCAGUUAGAGUUGAGUCCUAUUCAAAGUGUAGCCUAAGGGCUAAAAUGGGCAAACUUACAAUGCUUAAGUACUCUAAAAACAGAUUUGCCCCAACAACAAAAAUGUAUCAACCCCUACAAACAUAUUAAUUUAUUAUUAACCCUGCAUUAUAAUUGUAUAAAAGCCCCUUGGAUAUUAAUUUAGAAUCCUCUAAAUGUAAUAAGAUUUACAAGGACAUUUUAUUGAUCUGCCAGUAUUUUCAUUUUGAGGUUCCGGUAAAUUCUUUGAUGUUUCCUUUUAUGUGUCCUCACAAUUAUUAUUGGAUUAUUCACCAUGGCAACAAACUAAAUGUAUUUCUUAGUUAGGUUGGCUUUUGUGGAGAUCAGACUAUUUUCAUUUGCAAGGAUAUUUGUAAAUUUUUGACCAAAUGUAAGUCAGAACAAAUACUUAUUUCACUUUUAUAAUAUUCCUGUUGCUAUAUGGAAAUACAAGAAAUGUGUAUGUAACUUUCUUCACCAGUUCCCUUACCACUUUGUACAAUUGUGUGAUUAGCCUACCCGUUGGUGUAACUGUAAUGUUAAUUAUCUUGAGAGGAACUAUGGUGUGUUAUUUUUCUCUUAUUGUCAAUUGUGUAUAGAGAUUGUUGACAUUAGUGUUUAAUGUAACAUUGUUUAUUGGAUUUACAUUGUAGUCAUUUUCUAUUUCUUGCAUCCUGUUUCCCUCUGUACACAGACCACAUGUAUACUCUGGUUCAUCAUUAAACUCCUAGACUGGU